AUCGCUUCUCGGCCUUUUGGCUAAGAUCAAGUGUAGUCUCAUGUCUUACACUGUUUAUAUGGCAUUGCUUUCUAACAUAGUAAGCUAACUUAAUUUCCCUCUUUAUUAUAUGCUGUACACUGUUUGAUGCCUUGUUAAAUUUUGUAAUCUGCCUUGAGUCCCAGUGCGAAAGGCAGACUAUAA